rnacentral:rRNA from 1 species
GACGAACGCUGGCGGCGUGCUUAACACAUGCAAGUCGAACGAUGAAGCCGGAGCUUGCUCUGGUGAAUUAGUGGCGAACGGGUGAGUAACACGUGAGUAACCUGCCCUUGACUCUGGGAUAACUGAGGGAAACUGUAGCUAAUACCGGAUACGACCCUCGGAGGCAUCUCCUGGGGGUGGAAAGAAUUUCGGUCAAGGAUGGACUCGCGGCCUAUCAGCUAGUUGGUGAGGUAACGGAUCACCAAGGCGACGACGGGUAGCCGGCCUGAGAGGGGGACCGGCCACACUGGGACUGAGACACGGCCCAGACUCCUACGGGAGGCAGCAGUGGGGAAUAUUGCACAAUGGGCGCAAGCCUGAUGCAGCAACGCCGCGUGAGGGAUGACGGCCUUCGGGUUGUAAACCUCUUUUAGUAGGGAAGAAGCGAAAGUGACGGUACCUGCAGAAAAAGCACCGGCUAACUACGUGCCAGCAGCCGCAGUAA